GUUCAACCCCUUCCCCUGUUA
rnacentral:tRNA from 1 species